CGCACAGGUUUGCGGUUAAACAUUUGCCUAGCGGGCGAGCGUGUGAAUUCAGGAUUCAACAAUUUUGCCGGAGGUGUCGCUUUGAAACUGUACUAAACCGAACUUUAAUAUUUUGUCUUCCAGUCAGAAUCAAUAAAUAAUAUGAACCCAAGAGCUACUUUUAUGUUUGUUUUGCUUGUGGUGGUCUGUUUAGGAAUUGUUGCUGGACAUCACAAGAAUUGCACUGCUGCCAACAAUACCGGGCUUCCUUGUCACCCGCACAACGGAACCGGUGGUCAUGGUCAUGGUUGGGAGGGUGGACCACCACGGACCCAGCAAGCACUGGAUCGAGAUUUUAUCACUGGACUGCUUGAGGAGACAGCAGAUCGUGAUACCAAUUGAAACAAUUCCGGAAAAAGUUUUAACUUUGUUUUCAGAUAUCGAUUUGGGAGUUUUGCAUGGUGAUUUGUUCUUUAGACUUCUAGACCGUUAAAACUAGCAGUGAACGAAUAAUAAUAAUGAUUUUAUUGACAUGGGGAUAAACACUGUAUGUUAUAAAAAUAUGUUUACAUGAUCACAAUUACAGCAAUAGUUGAAGCCUGAUAAGUGCAUAUGUAAAUUCAUAUCAAACAUAUGUUGGUAACAAUCUGAAAGUAGUAUAGAAUUUCACAAUCUAUUUGUGAAAAUAGAUUUUUAAAUCUCCAACGGAAAUUUAUCUAAGGAGAGUAUGAUAAAAAGUAAUCUUGAGCUAUUGUGGGUUUAACUUAUAUAGUACAUGUGUA